ACUUACACGAAAGAAGACUGGUCAUCAUCUGCAAGGCCAUAUACCCCAAACCCACUGUAGUUAAGAACUCAUGCCCUGAAGUCUAAAGAGAUCCAGGUUCAAGUCUCAGUUCCCCUGCCCCUUGAGGCUGCUGUGACACAGGUUCCAUCCCUGACCCAGAGAACGUUUCCAUGCCACGGGCACGGCCAGAACAAAUGCACAGACAAAUAUGGAUGGAUCUUGAAAACAUUAAGGUAAGUAAAAGAAGCCCAUCACAAAGGAUCACAUAGUGUAUAUUUUUCUCUAUAUGAAGAGUGCGGAACAGGCAGAUCCAGAGAGACAGGGAGGCGGGAUUGGGGAGAAAUGGGGAAUGCGUGCUAAUGAGGAAGCGGUUUCCUCUUAAAAUGAUGAAAAUGUACCGGAUAUAGAUAGUGGUGAUGGUUGCCCGAUGCUGUAAGUAUCCUAAAAACCAUCAAACUGUACACUUUCAAAUAGGUGAGUUGUAUGGUAUACACAUUAUGUCUUAAUAAAACUGUUUUAAAAAUAGCUAACUUAUGCCUUGGGAGGAGCUGCUUGGCCAGUACUGCACCUCACUAGAACGUGUAACUAAUUGCUGCCCUGCCCAUCCCACUGAGUCAUGGACUGGGCUGCCAGUCACUGCCUGGUUCUGUCUGUAACGUGUGGACUGUGCCUGUAGCAAUGAAUUUGAAUACGGUAAAAUCUUUACCUAGGAGAACAGUCAUCAUGAAGUACCUAAAACUAGUCUUUAGUGUUCAGAGCGGUGUGAGCCAAGCCAUUCAAGAAGCCCAUUUAAAAAAAAGUUUUGAGCACCUAAGUGCCAGGCAGUGUCAUAAGAUCUGGAGAUACAGCGCGGAAGGACACUGAGAAGGACACGGCCCUUAUGGUGCUGGCACCUAAGUGAGAGAGAGAGAGACAGCCAAAACCCAGUGCACACACCCGGCUAUGUAAGGAAGUUUCAGGAAAUGGUAUGAGUGCUUCUGCAGUAAUAAAACAGUGUCAUGGGAGAGAGGGCCAGAGGCGUAGAGAGGAGGCUUCAGGUGAGAUUCCAUCUGAGCCUGGACUCGCAUGAGAAGAAGCCAGCCCCGGGAAAGUGUGUUGCUGGCAAAGAGAACAGCAAUUGCAAAGGCCCUGUGGCAGGGGGAGGCCUGACCACUAAAGGCAGAGACACAAAGCUGGUGCAUUCAAUCAGAAGCAACGGGGAGAGCAAAAAGAGAUGCAGAGAGGCAGGAAAGGGAUGCAGAGGCAGGCAGUGGUCCGGUUCCCGUAGACCAUCGUAAGGAGUUUGGAUUUUGUUUCAAGCCACAUGGGAAGCUGCUGUAGAGGGGGUGAAGACACAGUGGCUUGAGCUGGUUUUUGAAAAGAUGGCUCUGACAGUGGUGCAGAGAAUGGAUUGUGGGAGGGCCAGCGUGGAGCUGAGAGACCAGUCGGGACACUAUUGCAGCCGUCUGUCCUGUUCUGUGCUGUCUGUCUUGUCUCAAAAGCAGGAUGGAGGGCCUUUCUUUGUUGUUAAAAUUGUCUCAAGUAUUUACAAGCCUAAUUUCUUUGAACAAAAAUGUAGAGGGGUGAGUUGAAAUGCAGAGGGCCUCUGUGCUUAAAUGCAGCAGCACAUGCGCGUAGGUUCUUAAUCUCAACCAGAUUGAAUGCGGUUGUGGGGGGGGGUGGCCUUCUUUGCCAGGCUGUGCUGUCCUGCAGCCUGACACCUGGCACCUGACACCACGGUGUAGCGGAUGUUUCUAAAGCUUGUGCAGAUGUCAGAUGGGUCGAGUGAUUACUAAAGUUGUGAAGGAUCUGAUAUAGGUACCUACCAUCCUCCAUUCACUUAUAUACAUUACAGCUUAAUAAAUAAAAAUUAUACAUUAACAUUAUUUAUAAUAUACACCGUCUAUGUAGUAUAUAAUAUAGUAAUUAUAUGUGAUAUUAGAUAUUGGCAUAUUAUGCACUAUGUAAGUAGUAUAUUCUAUAUAUAGUCUUUGAUCCCAUAUGUAUAUAGAAAUGUAUCCAGGUUUACAGUGGGUGCACCCAGGUCCACCCAAAUCAAAAUCAUUUAGUGGCAUUCAAAUCCAUUUCUUUUUUUUUAAGGUGGCAUAUGGAGGUUCCCAGGCUAGGGGUCGAAUCAGAGGUACAGCUGCUGGCCUACACCACAGCCACAGCAGCGCAGGAUCCGAGCCACGUCUGCAACCUACACCACAGCUCACAGCAGCGCCAGAUCCUUAACCCACUGAGGCCAGGGAUCAAACCUGUGUCCUCAUGGAUGCCAGUCAGAUUUGUUUCUGCUGAGCCAUGACGGGAACUCCUCAAAUCCAUUUAGACUAAGAAUUCUAACUGCAGGAUCAGCACAAUCCUGUUCAAGUAGGAACAUGGUUUUUUUAUCACUCAGCUCAUUCCCGACAGUUUCUGUGGCUGCGGUGAGUCCCAAAGUGUGUCUAAUGGAUUCGUUAAAAUAGUACCUUUCCCCCUUUGGCUUCGAUAACAUACUUUGUGGAUGUCGAAAAGCUCUGUUACUCUCUGUUUGUGCUACUUCCCUCUGACCAUUCACAGACCAGCUCACUUCUGUAUAAAAGGAUAGCUUGAGGUGGUUCACAUGAUGUGGUCAGGAUCGAGUUCAAGACAUGUGCAAGACAGAGACAGCCAAAAAAAAAAAAAAAAAAAAAA
rnacentral:lncRNA from 1 species